rnacentral:rRNA from 1 species
UAAGGUAACGGCUUACCAAGGCAACGAUGCAUAGCCGACCUGAGAGGGUGAUCGGCCACACUGGAACUGAGACACGGUCCAGACUCCUACGGGAGGCAGCAGUAGGGAAUCUUCCGCAAUGGGCGAAAGCCUGACGGAGCAACGCCGCGUGAGUGAUGAAGGUCUUCGGAUCGUAAAACUCUGUUAUUAGGGAAGAACAUAUGUGUAAGUAACUGUGCACAUCUUGACGGUACCUAAUCAGAAAGCCACGGCUAACUACGUGCCAGCAGCCGCGGUAAUACGUAGGUGGCAAGCGUUAUCCGGAAUUAUUGGGCGUAAAGCGCGCGUAGGCGGUUUUUUAAGUCUGAUGUGAAAGCCCACGGCUCAACCGUGGAGGGUCAUUGGAAACUGGAAAACUUGAGUGCAGAAGAGGAAAGUGGAAUUCCAUGUGUAGCGGUGAAAUGCGCAGAGAUAUGGAGGAACACCAGUGGCGAAGGCGACUUUCUGGUCUGUAACUGACGCUGAUGUGCGAAAGCGU